CGAACGGCUGAGUAACACGUAGGUGACCUGCCCCGAAGUUUGGGAUAACAACUCGAAAGAGUUGCUAAUACCGGAUGUGACCACCGAUUCAUUUCGGUGCUUAAAGUCGCAAGACGCUUUGGGAGGGGCCUGCGGCGGAUUAGCUAGUUGGUGGGGUAAAAGCCUACCAAGGCGACGAUCCGUAGCUGGUCUGAGAGGACGAUCAGCCACACUGGGACUGAGACACGGCCCAG
rnacentral:rRNA from 1 species